CCUCGGCCUCCCAAAGUACUGGGAUUACAGGCGUGAGCCAACGCGCCCGGCCCACAGUAGUAUUUUAUGGAAUAUAUGCAGAAGAGCAAAAACAAAAACAAAAGUUUCUUGUUUUUCAAUAAUAGUCUAAUAAGCGAGAGCAUUUUAGAAAAGAACAAGUGGAUGUAUAAAUCAGUUUGUUUUCAAACACUUUCCCUGUAUCAUUUUGUGUUAUGUUAUUUUCUAGGGCAUCAGAAACUGCUAUGCUGUAAGCAGACUGGAGAGCCAAGAGAUAGCCUUGGCACUACUCUGAAAUAAGAUAUGUCAGGUCUACCCUUCUAUACUGCGUGACCAGCCUAGUUAAGAGUAGAUAUAUACAUGACAGUAAAGAGAUACAGCAUCAACAUGGAUGCUAGGUGUUAUCACCUCAUUAGCAAUGUUUCUUGUGUCAAUGAUAUGCAUGCUAAAUAAAAAAGACUAACAUAUGAAAAGAUAAAGAAUUCAAAAAUAAAACCAAGCUAAGCAGUAUGAUACCAAUUUGCACAAUUAAGUUGGAAAGACCAAACAGUACAAGCUUACACAUUCACUUUUAAAACUAUUUUAUUUUCUAAAAAUAAUUCCUAAAUUAUUUGUUAUUUCUAUUCUAAAAUUCAAAUUAUAUUUUACCUUAUUGGUUCCAAAGUAACCAAAACCUCUAUAAGACUGUAUUUUGAGCUCUCAGGGUAAAUAUUAUCCAGUAAUCUGGAUUUAAGCCUGAGCAUCUAGAAGUCAUCAAGAAACAUUUCUAUCACAAUACUUUAAUAUUUGCAUAAAGUAUAUUUGUCUCAUGCCUUUUAGCCUCACAAAUAUCAGAGUGAUUGAUACCUAUUAAAAGAAAGUUACAAGGCACAUAUUUUUCUCCUAAGAAGAAUAAGCAUCAAAUAAAUUUUAAGAGAGAAGUCCAUUUACAUAUUUCAACAAAGAGCAACUUAGGGAUUUGAAUUACAAGGGGAGAAAACAUGAGGGAUCAAAAUAAUAGGUGCUUCCAAUAUUUUAAGAAAACUGCCAUAACACUAAAGAUUCUUCUAUUAGCUUUGUCUACAAUAAGAAUCACUACCAUUUAUGGAGUACUUGCUAUGUGCUAGAUGCUACAUAUAAAUUAUCUCAUUUAAUCCUCAAAAAUAAUAUUUUCCCUAUUUUACAAAUUAGGUAACUAAGACUUAGUCAACUACUUUGUUGAAGGACACACAAGGUAUGAGACAGAACAGGAUUUUGAACCCAAGUUGAUCUAAUUCCAAAGCCUAUUCCUUUGCUAUACUAUGAUGCACAUCCUCCGUUCUUUUAAAGGAAGGCUGCAAACUCAAAAAUGCAAAUGGGGCCUUGUAAUUAAAAUAAAAUACAUGCUGUGAGUUAAAUAGAGAAUAAAGUGGUUUUGCAACCAAGUAUAUACCUGCCUACCUAACCUGGUCUCUUGAUAUAUAUUGUAAAAACAUAACAAAGCAGUCAAACAAAAUACAUCCACUGGCCACUAAUCUGCUGAACCCAUUUUCUAAAAUCACCAACUGAUAAUCAAUAGAAGAUGAAGAGCAAUCCUAGCAAGAAGGUGUUUUUUUUAAAUGUCAUUUUCACAUGAGAUGUGUAGGGUUGAAACCAGUUACCAAUGAGCAAGUGAAUAAAAUAUUGAUAUUUUUAAUGGUAACUCCUUUACUUUUGCCCCUUAUAUACAAACCUUGUAGCAAUAAUAAACUCUGUAGAAAAGUAUCAUUUAAUAUUGACUGUUUUCUACUUUUAUACUUAGUAUUUCCAAAGAUGUACUUGAAGGGUGAAUGUACGCAAGUCUAAAAACAGACUUCUUACCUAACAGAUUUACAUGCAAUAAUGGUCGUUAUGUACUCAAGGAGUUAAAAGAUAUAAUCAAAUCCCUAAUUAUUGCUCUGAGAGCACUAUUAACUACCUGAACACCACCCCUACUCUAAACCAGCAACCCAGGGAGCAGCAGAUAACCCUCAUAGGCACCCCAACUCCCUGUAGCCUUGGGAAUUAGAAUCAGGUAUUUCUCCUUCCUACAGCCUACAGUCCUCCCACUGACAAUUCCCCACUCCACACAAGGGCAAAACCUAGGUGGUAAAAUGGCAGAGGUGUGACAGAAAAGGAAGGGCAUGGGGAAAGUCUGAGUAGAUGGACACCACUGUUAAACAAAUUCCAAGCUUUGGCUGUGCAGUGGUCCACAGAAGCAUUUGGCAAUCUAGGAUCCCCAGGAGGCUCCUCCAUAAGGCACAGCACAGUAAAAAUACUUAGACUACUGCCAGACCAAGUCCCUACUCUAAAAAACACUGUCAGUGGUCUAGGGCUGAAGUGCCAAAAUGCAAUAGAUCAAAAUUAUCAAGACUCAGGAAAUAGAACAUAGAAAAUUCAGUUCCAUAUGCAGAAGAGAGUUCAGGAAGUCAAUAUAUAAUGUUUAAAAAUAUUAUUUUUAUGACAGUCAAGGCCCACCAAAUGUGUACUAACACUAAACAAAAGAGGUUACCCAUAAUGUCAGGUAUUAUAAGAAUAAGUUAUACAACUAAGUAGGUAUUUAGACUAAAUAAAACUGCUGAUUUAUAGAUUGAAUAAUACAUUAUUGAUCUGGGCACUCACUAAAUGACACUGCCAAACACUGCCAAGGAUUUUAUACAUAACCACAUUUUCAACCUAUCCUAAUAUCAUAUUUGCUUCUAUUUUAAUGAGUAUUAUGUACCUAAGUAUAUCACUGUAUCAGGCUUUUAACACUGACCUUAAUCACUGUGUUUUUAAAAAAAUAUUUAUUAGAAAGUGUAAUAAUAUUUCAUGUCUUUAGCUCAUUUUCUCUGUUCUCUAUCUACUCAACAGGUCACGUUAAAUGUCUGCCAUCUAAAAAUGCAUCACUAGAAUUAUUGAGUGGUUCAAAAAGAAGUAUAUACUUUAGUUGAAGUUUGUGACUCAUAUAUACACUUUCAUGUGUAUUUCUUUCAAAUAAAAAAUAUGCAUCUGAGCACAGCUGACAUUCUGACACAGAAAAUAUACAUCUUCCCUAGUCUCACCCAUAACUUACUAUUAUAACAACCAAAGUGUCACAUUGACACUCAUAUCAUAUUCAUAGUUUAUUGUUUAUAAGGAAUCCAUUAAACCAACACAUUGCUCCUAUGUAUUCUAGAACUACCUGAUAUAAUGUGAAGGGGGAAAGGGUAGAAAUCACACAAUUAAUCCUUAUUUAGAGAUAAUUUUUAUAGCAUAUAAAGUGAAAAAUAAAUUCAAAUAAAUGAGAGAGAAUUCUAAAAACAAUAAUUUAAAUCACCAUUGUUCCUAAAGCAAUAGCUUGAUUUCUCUGCAUUCAAGUAUAAGCUUUCAGCAGCAAAUACUGAUUAAUAUGGUAGCUUAAUUUAUCUUUAAUCUGCUUCAAAUUAAAUCAUUUUUAAACUUCCAGUUAGAAAUUCUCGAGCUGUGAGUUUCUAUUACUGCAUAGCAAUUAUAAGCUCCCAGCUGUGCAAUAAAUAUUACCUGAACAGAACUUCUUAAAAUACCCUUUACAAUUAAAUACCUAGUAAUCAUUAAACAAGGCAAGAAAUAGAAGGUUUGGGGUUUUGGGGGGAGAUGAGCAAGCAAACAUUGUUUUACAACAGGUUUCUGGAAACUAUAAACUCAAAUAGCAGAUUACUAAUUAUUGGGAAGGAGAUGGGAUCUUGGUUCUAAGAAUCUCUGUAACAACUUGGAUAUAGAUGUUAUAGAGCCUAACUAAAUUAUUCCUUGCAAAGACAGAGGUGUAAUAUUCUCAGCAAAGUCCUGUAGAGUACACCCAGUCAGUUGAUAGUCAUCUAUGGUAAAGUCAUUCAUGGGGGCUUUCAGUAGAACAGAGGGAGAAAUUCCAACAUAUUCGGCAUACUCUCUAAAGAAAAAGGAAAAAAAAAAAAAAAA